AUGAAUCCGCAGGCACAAUCGCCACGGCGGAUUUCAUCUGCCCUGGCGAUCUCAGCGACGGCCACGACGGGAUGCAUCUCCGAACUCUCCAUCAGCUCCCUGGAAAAAUUCUCAUCGCGUGAUAAGCUGCAACAGAUCGUCACGACGGCUUCUACUGUUAAGGAUGUUGAACAUGCAUCAGCGGUGAUCCAUAAUUUAAGUGUUGACCAUCGGUGUGCCUCUGCAUCUAGCCAUGGUGUGGCCCAUCUCACUUGCCCUGCUACGUCUGUUGAAAAUACUAGUGCUGCAGAAUAUGAACCGAACUUCAGUAUGGUGGAUGGAGGUUCAGCUACAGAAUCCGGUAAAAGCCUGCAAACUCAAAUGAAUGAGCGAGAAUUUGCUACGCCAAGAAAGAAAGAAAGCAUUCCCCUAUUCUGCUCGUCUUUUACGCCGAGUUGCAACGAAAAAUUGAAGUCUACAAGUCGUAUGCACAUCAUGUGGGUUUUGGAGUUCGUGUCGGACAGCAGAAAAAGUUGA
rnacentral:rRNA from 1 species